GACGAACGCUGGCGGCGUGCCUAACACAUGCAAGUCGAACGGAAAGGCCCUGCUUUUGUGGGGUGCUCGAGUGGCGAACGGGUGAGUAACACGCGAGUAACCUGCCCUUGACUUUGGGAUAACUUCAGGAAACUGGGGCUAAUACCGGAUAGGAGCUCCUGCAGCACGGUGGGGGUUGGAAAGUUUCGGCGGUUGGGGAUGGACUCGCGGCUUAUCAGCUUGUUGGGGGGGUAGUGGCUUACCAAGGCUUCGACGGGUAGCCGGCCUGGGAGGGUGACCGGGCACAAUGGGCCUGAGGUACGGCCCAGACUCCUACGGGAGGCAGCGGUGGGGAGUAUUGCGCAGUGGGCGGAAGCCUGAUACAGCGGCGCCGCGUGCGUAAAGACGGCCUUCGGGUUAUAAACCGCUUUCGCCUGUGACGAAGCGUGAGUGACGGUAAUGGGUAAAGAAGCACCGGCUAACUACGUG
rnacentral:rRNA from 1 species